CAGCCGCCGCGGGAAUACGGAGGGUGCAAGCGUUAAUCGGAAUUACUGGGCGUAAAGCGCACGCAGGCGGUCUGACAAGUCAGAUGUGAAAUCCCCGGGCUUAACCUGGGAACUGCAUUUGAAACUGUCAGGCUGGAGUCUUGUAGAGGGGGGUGGAAUUCCAGGUGUAGCGGUGAAAUGCGUAGAGAUCUGGAGGAGUACCGGUGGCGAAGGCGGCUCCCUGGACAAAGACUGACGCUCAGGUGCGAAAGCGUGGGGAGCAAACAGGAUUAGAUACCCGCGUAGUCCCUGUCGCUUAUAC
rnacentral:rRNA from 1 species